rnacentral:rRNA from 1 species
GUCUACAGCCAUGCCACCCUGAAUGUCUUGUCUGAUCCCAUGCCCAGUCUUGUCUGAUCUCGGAAGCUAAGCAGGGUCGGGCCUGGUUAGUACUUGGAUAGGAGACCACCUAGGAAUACCAGAUGCUGAAGGUG